rnacentral:rRNA from 1 species
UACGGAGGGGGCGAGCGUUAUUCGGAAUUAUUGGGCGUAAAGGGCGCGUAGGCGGCCUUGUAAGUCAAAGGUGAAAUCCCUCGGCUCAACUGAGGAACUGCCUUUGAAACUGCAAGGCUUGAGGCCGGGAGGGGGUAGCGGAAUUCCCAAUGUAGCGGUGAAAUGCGUAGAUAUUGGGAGGAACACCGGUGGCGAAGGCGGCAUCCUGGACCGGCAUUGACGCUGAGGAGCGAAAGCUAGGGGAGCAAACGGG